GCUGUCUGAUGGGGUCUGUCUCCUUAGAACCUUUCUGGAGGCCAGGGCCACAUCAUGGAAGAUUGUGACCUCAAAGAGCCUGAAGGACUCCUCACUGUCAGCAGCUUCUGUCUCCAGCAUUGCAAAGCCCUGAUCCAGACCAAGCUCUCGGGGCCGCCUGGCAGCAAACAGGGGAGGCUGAUGACAUGCAGCCGCUUCCUGAAGACCCCCUCAUGCGGAGGUGGCCAGCACAUCACUAUUCCAAGGAAAAGGAUGUUCACUCCACGCAAGCUCAAAUUGACACUCUUUAAUAGCGACGUUUGCUAAAAUCAGGAGGACUUUGUACCUUUAUGAGGAAUUUUUCAUUUUCUUCCUGGCUGGAUUGAUGUGGAAACCAGAGCUGUCUGUGGAGCUGUUUUCCAGACCCCAGGCCCAUUCCUGGGAUCUCUCCAACAGGACCUGUCCUGUGUUCUGGGCUCGUCUCGGGUCUGACCAGGAGAUGGAGGAUGUGUCCUUGGCAGAGCCAAGGGGAGACAGAGGUUUCUGGGUGCCAUGACAGGCUGUCGGGGUCCAGGUGGCACCCAUGGGCCCCCUGCCCCAUGUGAAUGCUGCUGGCACCUGGUGGGGGUUGCUCAGGGAUGGACCCUGGGCAUGGCUUCUGGGCUGCUUAGUCCAGGGGGAGCAACUUGUGGCCAAAUCCAUGAGUUCAGAGGAAAAGGGGAAGGCACUGAAACGUCACCAGAGAGACAGCUGUUGAGACCGCUCAGAAACCGUCUGUCUGUCACACUGUGUCCUGGCUGCUGUGUGGUCAGGGCACCAUGAGGGUGUACAGAUGUGCUGUGUCCUCAAAGCCUCGCAGGUGCCCUCACUUAUUGCCUGGGCCCCUGCCCAGCAGCCUCAAGGACAGGCCUUUCUCCCUCACGGUUGUGGACAGGAGGUCGCACCACUGGCCUGCGAGAGCCUCUGGUGGGCCCGUGGCUUCCCCCAGUUAUCUGCCAAGGAAAACUGUGCUCUUUGAAGGGCAGAGCCAAGAAGUCAGCCCUGACUUUUGUAAAAUUUUAU
rnacentral:lncRNA from 1 species